CCUACGGGUGGCAGCAGUGAGGAAUAUUGCGCAAUGGGCGAAAGCCUGACGCAGCGACGCCGCGUGAGGGAUGAAUGUCUUCGGAUCGUUAACCUCUGUCAGCAGGGAAGUACGGUCACUGUGCUAAUCAGCAGUGAAUUGACGGUACCUGCAAAGGAAGCACCGGCUAACUCCGUGCCAGCAGCCGCGGUAAUACGGCGGGUGCGAGCGUUAAUCGGAAUUACUGGGCGUAAAGCGCUCGUAGGCGGUAUGUCAAGUCAAGGGUGAAAUCCCCGCGCUCAACGUGGGAACUGCCUUUGAAACUGGCAGACUUGAGUGUGGGAGAGGUUAGUGGAAUUCCAGGUGUAGGAGUGAAAUGCGUAGAUAUCUGGAGGAACAUCAGUGGCGAAGGCGACUAUCUGGCACAUAACUGACGCUGAGGAGCGAAAGCGUGGGUAGCAAACAGGAUUAGAUACCCGUGUAGUC
rnacentral:rRNA from 1 species